rnacentral:lncRNA from 1 species
UCCCCCCCCACCAAAGUAUCUACUACAAGGGUAUUCCUGUAUUUUCGAAACAAUGAAAAUAAGAAGCUGAUCAAUCAAGCAAAGUCUUAGAACUUUUGAAACUCAUCAGCAGUUCAACUUUUUUGUACUUAUAAAUACCAUCGUACCACAAAACUCAGAGAAACCAUUGUCACUCAUAGCAAGUUCCUUUUUCUCUAUAUAUUUCUCUCAUUCUCCUUCUCCUUCUCCAUGGACAUUCAUGCAAAGGUUCUCCAACACAAAGACCAACUAACUGUUGUAGCAGCAGUUUCAGUUGUUCUGUCAUUGUUUGUAUAUGCAGCUCCUCGAUUUCUAAGUAUUCUAGCUUUCUUUUGGCCUCUCUUUGCCUCCACAGCUGUACUCUUAGUGGUAAUGAACGCCUUUGGAGGUGGUUUCCAAGUCGGAACCGAGAUUCAUGGUAUGAGAGCUGGUGAAGGGAUUCUAGAUUAUGUUGCGGGAAGACCUGAAAAUGGCGAAAACCACUAUAAGUACCAAUAACAGAUUAUUUCUCACGAUCAAAUUUAAAAAACAUACACUCAAAGUUUCUGCUUGUUCAUUUUGUAUAUUCAAACUACCGAUGAGUUAGUUCAGUGGAAUAACACAUGGAUGCUCAAUGCAAAAAAUGGUUUGUAAAUUGAAUGUAAUUCUUCAAAUAUUUUGUUUGAAUCCUAAUAGGUAAGUUCAGUAACGAUAUUUGGAAUCAAUGGUCACUUAAAAGGUAACCAUGAAAAUGAAAUUUAUAGUAUCUGCCUCGAUAAAUUUGGAGUUUUGUAUGGAUAUUAACUUAACUUAAUAAUCGUCAAGAAAUCUGAAAAUUGGCCUACCUCCACCUUUUCAUAAAAAUUCUUGACGUUUUAUCUUUAAAACCACUAUUUCAAAAAACGUCAAGAAAGAAAAAUAACAAUCGUCAAGAAAGACUCUUUUUGUAGUAGUGAGUCUAUAGACAUAUCAGAAAUAGCAGUGCCCAAGUACCAUCGUUUUGGAAUUUCUAUAUUUGUAUAUACUUAUUAUUGUUCAAAUAUUUAUCUUUUAUUGCUUUUAUUUUCUCCUUAUUUGUAAAAGGUCUUUCUCCUAUUUAAGAAGACCAAUUUUGCGAUAUUUAUUAAUAAGGAUAAAUAACUUAACUCUCAACUUUAUGUUAGUAUCAAAGUAGAAAUGACAUUAAAAUCCUAAAAGUCCUAUUUUUUUUAAAAAAAAAAGACUCUUGUUUCUGCCUCGCCGCUAUUGUCCUCCGUAAUCGCUACCAGACCUUCAGAGUUUGCCAACAACCAAGUCUCCAUCGAAAACUUCGUCCAUUCUCCUUUGUCGCCAGCUAUGAGGCCCUGAUUCAGGAUGGAGUUCUAUUGAAGAGGAACUCCGUUAAGAUAGGCUAUUUUGACUAAGUAUAGAAAGAGGCAUUCUGCAAAAAAUGAUGCGAUUGGAGAAAGGGUGAUGCGAAGAAAAGUAUUUGAGU